UAACAAUGAAGUGUACCAUUCUACAUUCCCCAAGACCCAAGCCUAAACUAUAUUUCAUUUCAUCUUUUCUUGACUUCAAAUCCACAGAUUAGAAUUAGAUUUAACCUAUGAGAGGAUUAUAAAGUUUCAUAACAGCUACUAAAUCCUUCCUAUUUUCUUUCCAAUUAUGCAAAAAAUGGCUCACUUCAUUGUUAGCUAGUGAAAAGCUA
rnacentral:misc_RNA from 1 species